rnacentral:rRNA from 1 species
UGGGGAAUAUUGCACAAUGGGCGCAAGCCUGAUGCAGCCAUGCCGCGUGUAUGAAGAAGGCCUUCGGGUUGUAAAGUACUUUCAGCGAGGAGGAAGGCGGUAAGGUUAAUAACCUUAUCGAUUGACGUUACUCGCAGAAGAAGCACCGGCUAACUCCGUGCCAGCAGCCGCGGUAAUACGGAGGGGGCAAGCGUUAAUCGGAAUUACUGGGCGUAAAGCGCACGCAGGCGGUCUGUCAAUUCGGAUGUGAAAUCCCCGGGCUCAACCUGGGAACUGCAUUCGAAACUGGCAGGCUAGAGUCUUGUAGAGGGGGGUAGAAUUCCAGGUGUAGCGGUGAAAUGCGUAGAGAUCUGGAGGAAUACCGGUGGCGAAGGCGGCCCCCUGGACAAAGACUGACGCUCAGGUGCGAAAGCGUGGGGAGCAAACA